GCCAAUGAGCGCCUAUCUCGCGAAGCCGAAGCCAGUGAUUGGGCAAGAGAUUGGCGUGAGGGAGGAACUACAAACGUGGGCUUUGCCGGCGGGGUGCGGCCCGCCAUUAGGCGGAGCAGGCAGGAGCUCCGGUGCGGCGGUCUUUAGUUUCAUGGCGCCAAUUUUGUGAAGCUUCCACGUUUUGCCACCGACACGUGCAUAUUCUGACAGUAUCCCCCGCUCCAUUCUGCCUUCUCCGAAUUUCUCCACUCCCCAACCACCACCCCCUCGCAGCCAGGAUGCUACGAGCGAUAGUUUACGCAGACCCCAACGCCAGGAACCGUGGGAUUGGAGUAGUGGCAGAACCCUCACUGGAGAAAAAGGAAGAGAGAAAGCCACAUGACAAAUAUUACAAAUAUACAGGCCACAAUCACAGCCCUGCAAUCAACCAACCCUGUAUUUUCCAGAGUAAUAACCAGAGCUAAGCUGGUUAGCUUGGCCCUCAGAUCACCCCACCCUCCCUGCAGAAAAGUGACAAGAAACCUAUUGAACUCCCCCCACAGUCCUGUAAAGAAAUGAAAAGGAACAGCAAUGCACCUGGAGGCAAAGCAGUGAGCAGAAAGAGAAACAAGGAAAAGAGCUAUGACCCCAGUAACCCUCUGAAAUUACCCCAAUUAGCAUCCACAAGAGUUCAUGGUUAUAAAGAUCAUAGGCUUUUGCCCACUGGGCAGAGGAAAGAAAACAUCUGGGGCAAGCUACUCUGAAUCAGGCAAAUUCACGAGAAGCCAGUGAGAGAGGCAGAAAAGAACCCACCUGAACUCCACUUGAUUGACACAUAUAACUGCCCAAAAUCACCUUGCCCCAGCAAACUCCCAAAUCGAAUCUCUUUAAGUCCCCAUGCCCAAAGGAACAUCAUUAUGUUCCUACCCGACCAGUCUUCUUCCAUUCACUCACUAUUAGUAAGCCCAAGCCUCCAUCUUGUCCCUGCCUGGAAUUGCCUGCCCCCCACCCCCCUGCCAGGUCCUCUCAACACACCCACCCCACCCACCAGUCCCAGAAUAAAAAUAUAAAAAGAUUCUUCAAUUCCUCCCUCUAACCCAGCAUCCCUACUUGGGUUAUGCUUGUACCUCACCCCUUUCCCAGUCUGAGGUCACCUUCAGAUAUAAACCCAGCAAGAAAACAUCUGGAAACCUUGACAAAUGGAGAUAGGGGAAGUGAGUCUCGGCACUACGAUGGUAGAAGUUGACAGGACGCAGGAAGGACGCUCCAUGGUGAUGUUCAACAGGCGAAAUACCAGGUAUAUUGCCAGAUCCCCCAUACCUGCUUCCAAUUGUCCCUGUUCCUCCUUUCGCUAACCACAGGGAAGUACCAGACACUGAAAUCACCCCUACCCCAUUACUGGCUCCCCUCUGGGUCCCAGCUCCAACGCUCACUCAAGCCCACUGCCUGGAGACUAGCCUUGUAAGCACCAAAGCAGCCUAUUUCCCCACUUCUCACUUGAGAAGCCAUACCCCAGGACCACCCUACUGGAGCACAGGUUGUUCCCGAACUGGAGAUAAGUUAGGGGAAAAUGGGCAAUAAAUUUACUUGGUGUGAUCAAUUCAAGUUAAGGGCUGAGAAGUCCAAGCAACUUGGUCUGGACUCUCCAGUCCUAAAGAUGGCAGACUAGUAGGACAACGAUGACCUAAAUGCCUUUGGGCAGCAGGGAAAUCACUAAUUCCCACAUUCAAACCCCUUUCCUCAUCUGCCCUGGGAUUCUCCAGCUGCCUUCCUUUUAGCUGUCAUGUCUUCCUGGAUGUCAAACUGGCUCCUCUGAAACUGAGUGCAAUCAAGACAAUGACAACCAGGUUUCCAAACUGCAAA